AUACGAAAGGAGCAAGCGUUGUUCGGAUUUACUGGGCGUAAAGAGAGUGUAGGUGGUUUGUUAAGUCGGAUGUGAAAUCCCGGGGCUCAACCCCGGAACUGCAUUCGAUACUGGCAGACUAGAGUUCGGGAGGGGGAAGCGGAAUUCCGUGUGUAGCAGUGAAAUGCGUAGAUAUACGGAGGAACACCUGAGGCGAAGGCGGCUUCCUGGACCGAUACUGACACUGAGACUCGAAAGCGUGGGUAGCAAACAGGAUUAGAAACCCCAGUAGUCC
rnacentral:rRNA from 1 species